GAUGAACGCUGGCGGCGUGCCUAACACAUGCAAGUCGAACGGUUAAGGCGGCUUCGGCCGCGGAUAAAGUGGCGAACGGGUGAGUAACGCGUGACCGACCUUCCCCCCGCACCGGGACAACCGCGGGAAACCGCGGCUGAUACCGGGUACUCCGGGGCCCCCGCAUGGGGGCCCCGGGAAAGCUCCGGCGGCGGGGGAUGGGGUCGCGUCCCAUCAGGUAGUAGGCGGGGCAACGGCCCACCUAGCCGACGACGGGUAGCCGGGUUGAGAGACCGACCGGCCACAUUGGGACUGAGAUACGGCCCAGACUCCUACGGGAGGCAGCAGUGGGGAAUUUUGCGCAAUGGGGGCAACCCUGACGCAGCAACGCCGCGUGCGGGACGACGGCCUUCGGGUUGUAAACCGCUUUCAGCAGGGAAGAACCUCUGACGG
rnacentral:rRNA from 1 species